rnacentral:rRNA from 1 species
UGAAUACGAGACGCUAAGGCGUCGAAGUAGUGUAUGUCAUACUUCCAAGAAAAGCUUGCACUGUCAUAGAUAAAAAACGCCUGUACCAUAACCGACACAGGUGGGUAGGUAGAGUAUACUAAGGGGCGCGAGAUAACUCUCUCUAAGGAACUCGGCAAAAUAACUCCGUAACUUCGGGAGAAGGAGUGCCUUAUUCGUAAGGUUGCAAUAACAAGAUCCAAGCAACUGUUUAUCAAAAACACAGGUCUCCGCUAAGUCGUAAGACGAUGUAUGGGGGCUGACGCCUGCCCAGUGCCAGAAGGUUAAAGAAGUUGGUUAGCAAUUGCGAAGCUGAUAACUGAAGCCCUGGUGAACGGCGGCCGUAACAAUAACGGUCCUAAGGUAGCGAAAUUCCUUGUCGGGUAAGUUCCGACCCGCACGAAAGGCGUAAUGAUUUGGAUACUGUCUCGGAGAGGGGCUCGGUGAAAUAGACUUGUCUGUGAAGAUGCGGACUACCUGCACCAGGACAGAAAGACCCUAUGAAGCUUUACUGUAACUUGAAAUUGAAAUUGGACUUUAUUCGCGCAGUAUAGGUGGGAGGCGUUGAUUAUAAUCUUGUGGGAUUAUUGGAGCCAUCAGUGAGAUACCACUCUUGUAAUGUUAGAUUUCUAACUUUGAAUCAUUAUCUGGUCAAAGAACAGUUUCAGGCGGGCAGUUUGACUGGGGCGGUCGCCUCCUAAACGGUAACGGAGGCGUACAAAGGUUUCCUCUGAACGGUUAGAAAUCGUAUCUAGAGUGUAAAGGCAUAAGGAAGCUUGACUGUGAGACCUACAAGUCGAGCAGGGACGAAAGUCGGUCUUAGUGAUCUGACGGUACUGAGUGGAAAGGCCGUCACUCAACGGAUAAAAGUUACUCUAGGAUAACAGGCUGAUCUCCCCCAAGAGUUCACAUCGACGGGGAGGUUUGGCACCUCGAUGUCGGCUCAUCGCAUCCUGGGGCGGUAGUACGUCCCAAGGGUUGGGCUGUUCGCCCAUGAGAGCGGUACGCGAGCUGGGUUCAGAACGUCGUGAGACAGUUCGGUCCAUAUCCGGUGUAGGCGUUAGAAUAUUGAGAGGAGCCUUCUUUAGUACGAGAGGACCGAGAAGGACAUACCUCUGGUGUACCAGUUAUCGUGCCAACGGUAAACGCUGGGUAGCUAUGUAUGGAGUGGAUAACCGCUGAAAGCAUCUAAGUGGGAAGCCCACCUCAAGAUAAGUAUUCUCA